rnacentral:lncRNA from 1 species
UUCUUUAACUGCAAGAGAAAACCAAUUUGCGCAAACUUCCAUGCUUUCAGGACUAUGUGCUCCAUCUAAAUAAAACACCAGAUCUCCUUGACUUUGAUUAUCACAAGCCCGGUCAGCAAUAAUCUGGGCCCGCCCUUGUAGACUUGCGGUUGUUAACCCUUUAAUAUAUGGCUCAGGCAAACGACUCUAUCUACAGGGUUGACUUUAGAGUGACCGGUCCGUUGAAGCCACGUAGAGCUUAACAUGAUAGCAAGUCCAGCAUUAACGUAUUGAUGCUCUCCUGCAAGCCCGAGAUGCAACCCAUUUAACAAAUUACCAUCCAACUGGUUUG